rnacentral:lncRNA from 1 species
UUUUUUUUUUUUUUUUUUUCUGAAGGGGUGUUACUUAAAUGUAUUCACUCUUCCUUCAAGGGCAGACUGUACUUACGGAGACAGAAAUGAGAGUUAUGGCUGAAAGUAAUUCAGAUUCCAGGAGGGAAACAGGAACAAACAAGCAAUGCAUUUUCUCCCAUCCACCCAUGGGUGCCAAAGGCCCAAAGCCCUUACCUUGCCAGAAAGAUGAAUCAGGAGCCCACAGACACGUUUGCUUUAUUCUGUGGACAGUGCCACACUGGUUCUGGGUCUGAAAGCAGCAAAGCUCUCUGCACAGUGCUCUUCCCUUCCUUCCUCCAAGCUAAAUCCCAUUUUGUAUGUGGAGGAUGUGCAGGAGAACUUGUCCCCACACCCUUAUGUCCAAACCCGUGCCCCGUGCUUGAUUUCAAUUCAUGAGCUGGGAUUGCAAAAGGGGCCCAGACAAGGUGAGAAGGAUGGCAGGGGGAUGCCCAAGGUCAAAUAUCAAACACAGUCUGUUUUGGUAGGGCCUACAGAAAUAAUUCCUUCCAUUCUUUCUGGCUUUCCAACCCAAUGCAGUAAGGAACCAAAGAACCUACUGAAGAGGCUCUCAUCGAUGCAAAUGGAUUGCAACGGUUUUUAAAUGAGUUAAAUUUGCAGCCUGAACUACUUGGCAGAAUCUCUGAAAUCAUUAUCCUUUUAUUCAUAGUAGUAAUAAAUAAUAAUAAACCUAAACAUCCCAAUGGUCCCCACACCUCCCGCAUCUCCCUAGCUGCAGAUCUCGAACAUGAAUAAUAAUUACAGCUUAUCAAAUCAGCCCAUGAUUAGAGACAACAGAAAGACAUUUCAUAUUGUUAACUUCCUCACACAAGAUGGGAAAAAAAUCAGGUCAUAGGGGUAUUAAAAAUUUAUAUCAUAGCAUUUGACUUGACUUGUCUUUUAAAAAGGAAAAAAAGCCAGCAUGUAUUAUGUAUUUAGGCAAUUCCUUUUAAACCCUCUCCCGAAUGAGCACAAGACAGGCCAAUAACUUGAUAGAUGGAUGGCUCCAUCCAGCCCCUGUGCAUAUUUUAUACACAUGCUCACAUGCAGACACUUACUGGGCACUCACACCUAUAUAAAACAUCAUAUAUAUACACAGAGAGAGGUAUAAAUCUAUUUAUAGCCCUUAGCUGAAGGCAGAUGCAGAGCUAAUGUUUAAAAAAGAAAAAAAAUUCCUAUGCAGAGAUAGCAUCUUAUUUCAAUCUGGCAGCUUUGGAAGAGCAACUUUUUUGCCAAUUUUUUGUGGAGUCGCAGCAACCUCAGCAGAGCUUGGUUCAUUAGCUGCCUGAUUCCUGUUUGAGUUUGCUGCUUGUGUUGUUUGUUUCUCUGUCCUUAGGUCAUUUUUCUGGCUUUUGUGGUCCAGAAAAUACCUUGACAAGGGAAAAAAAAAAAACAAGUCAUUGAUGACAUAGAGCACAAAGGAAGGAGUGGAAUAAAUCAAGUCAAGAAAGAGGCUGAAUUUGCAUCUCAUCUCUCAGGAGAUUAUGAGAUGGAACAAGCUCCUGCUUGGAUGAUUUUCAGGACCCACAUCGUGCCCUGUCUACCUACGGGGGCUGCACAUUUGCUCUAGGCAAGUCCCAUCCCAUCCCAGGCCAUCCCAUCCCCUGUCCUGCCAGAGAUGUGCUCGAGGACCUGCCUAGUUCAAGGGGAAAAUGAACAAUUUCAGGCAAAGCUGCCCAAGGCUGCCCAAGGUGCACACUCCAGCUGAUGGAAGAAGAAGCCUCCAAAUCUCUCUGGAUGCCUCCUCAUUCCUUGGAACCUGGCUCAGAGUUUUCUCCAGCCCAUUAUAACUGUUCUAAAACCCAGUCAGAAUCCUCACACCACUCAGAAAAAUCCUUCCACAUGUUUCCGUGCAAAAAUUCCCUUUUUAUGAGAGAUGCAGUUCCGUGUCCAAGGGUGUCAGCACCACAUCUCUCCAAAAUGCUGCUGGAAAUCUUGGAAAGGCAGAGCCUGUGGAGUGCUGCAGCAAAUGUCUCUGUGCACAUGCCCUGGCACCAGCCUGCUCUUUUCAGGAGAGGUCAGCACAUUUACAUAGAUGCUUUAAUAGAGCAGCCACCAAAAUCUCCUCUAAGAUGUUUUGAAAGCUUAAAAAAAACCCUAAAAAAACCACCAAAACCCUCAAAUAUAUUUUUUUUCAACAUCUGCAGUCAAUGAAAGGAGAGAUGCAAAUCUGCUGUCAUUUGCAUGCAAAUUUUUUUUUACAUCAAAUCAGUGACAGAAUGCACAAUAAACACACUUUAAAUUGAAAUAUUCCACGUUCACUUCCUCCUAGCCUUGCCUGCAGCUGGGAUUCAAUUUUCAUGCACAGCUCCACACAGGUGACUGUCCUCCAGUGGCUCUGAAGCCAGGAAGAGUGUGGGAAAGAUGGAAUUACAGAGGCAAAGUAAUUGCAACCAGCUCAUGACUCAAAACCCAGCUGUCAUGUGAGAGAGUAAAGAUGAAGGUUCUUCAGAAAUAAAUGCUGUUGAAAGAGUCUGUAUCUGUCUCAAAGCCUAAAGCAUCCUUUAUGAUAAUCACUAACAUUUUGAUCACAGGGAAAUAUGAUAAUCGCUCGCCCCGGAGUCCACGCAAUCAGGAAUAAUAGCAAAUAUCUCUGUAAGGCUUGUUUGCUUCAGGCUUUGAACAGCUCAGCCCGCCGUACUAUGGCAUUGCUGCAGGGCAGGGCAGCACUCCCAGCAUCACUGCAGGGCUGGGCAGGGCUAGCCAGCCAGGAAAGGGGCUGCCUUGGGCCGUGUG